CCUUUUAGGUACAAACAGUAGGCAGGAAUUUUGAACUGCCAAUGGCCGAAGAAGCCCUGACGGAAGCAAUUACCGCGUGAGGGAGGAAGGCUUCUUGGGUAGUAAAACCCUCUUAUUCUCAGGGAAGAGACACAAUGAACGGUACCUGAGGGAAUAAGCAUCGGGCUAACUCCGUGCCGGCAGCCGCAGUAAUACGGAGGACGGCAAGCGUUAUCCCGGAAUUAUUGGGCGUAAAGCGUCCGCAGGUGGCAGUUCAAGUAUGACUGUCAAAGGUCAGGGCUCAACCCUGAACAGGCAGUGGAAACUGAACAGCUAGAGUGCGGUAGGGGCAGAGGGAAUUCCCAGUGUAGCGGUGAAAUGCGUAGAGAUUGGGAAGAACACCGGUGGCGAAAGCGCUCUGCUAGGCCUGCACUGACACUCAGGGACGAAAGCUAGGGGAGCGAAUGGGAUUAGAUACCCCAGUAGUCCUAGCCGUAAACGAUGGAUACUAGGCGUAGCUUGUAUCGGCCCAAGCUGUGCCGUGGCUAACGCGUUAAGUAUCCCGCCUGGGGAGUACGCGCGCAAGCGUGAAACUCAAAGGAAUUGACGGA
rnacentral:rRNA from 1 species